rnacentral:lncRNA from 1 species
CCUUGCUCUGGUGGGCUAAUCCCCGGCCCACUCAGCUGCACCUGGGAGUCGAGGGUUCACGACAGCCCCGUGACGCAGACUCCCCCGUGCGACCCACACCCCCCGCGCCCCCCACCCCAUUCCCUCAGGCCGGAGACCACGAGGGGAGGAGCGAGUUUCCAAAAGCAACACCUCCGGCCAGUUUCUACUGCCUGUCUCCAGCAGGAAAAUGGCAAAUAGUGAAGUUUAGAAUUACACUAUAUAAAUUUACUAGAAUUAGGCAGAGACAAGCUGACAUUUGAAAAUUGAUGCUGAAAAUAGUUGAUUUUGGCAUUGUGGUUUCAUUUUUUUUCUUUUGAGACAAGAUGAAAAGUUUGAUGAUGUGGAACUUGGAAAUUUUUGGCCCAAAGCAACAGAGCCAGAUAAUCAUGGACCCAGAACCUCUGAAACUUGAACUCUGUUAAAGAUCUUCCUCCUCUACUUUCUGGCCCAUCAAGAGAAGGAUCCUGUAGGAGGGACAUACAUGGCUCUGUCUGCUGAAACAAGGCCAGCAUGCAAGUGAGUGGAAAUAAUGAGGUACCUACCAUGUGCCACUGUUUUGAAAUCAGAUGCUCGUGUUAUAGCAGGCGCCAUUUUGGAAAAUGGAAACUGCAUUGUCACCAGAUGUGAAGGUGCUGAACACACAGAUGGGGUGGACUGGCUGGACAUACCGGACUCCCCUGACCUGGCUCAGUGAUCUCCACUUCAGGACUCCACUGCAUCUAUGCUUAGGAACUGUGAUAAACACUGCCCUUGGAUGUUUUCACUGGCUACUCCCACAUUUCCAUUGCAAUACCAGACUCUGGGCUCUAAAUCAGUUCCUUCUUUCAUCUCCCCUCUCAUCUCUUUACUCACCUGGUAACAGCAUCCUGCUUGUAAGGGAUCUUGGUUGGGCAGCUCCAGAAGGAGCCCUGUCUCCCCUUAAACUUUUUCAAAAGCACUCCGCCCAACACAACCAGCACAUUCUAAUUCAGGGAUCCAAAAAAACCACUGGGCCCUGUCUUAGGCCCAUGCCCUGACCCUGUCCCCCACCUCCUACCUCUGUUCCCAAACCACUUAGCAUGUCAGACCAUCUCCGUCUCUUUCCUGCUGAUUUCAAUCCAGUUACCUUAUUCUGUUCUGAUUCAUUUGUUCAUGGCUUCUUUCACCCCUGAGAUAUUUGUUAAUCUCCCACAAGGUACACAAUACGCUGCUAAGUUCCCUGAGAGUGGAGGGG